rnacentral:rRNA from 1 species
AGGGUUUGAUCCUGGCUCAGAGUGAACGCUGGCGGCGUGGAUUAGGCAUGCAAGUCGAGCGAUCCUUGUCAUUGAUGAAGACUGAAAGCUUCGGCCGGAUGUUUUCUGAUUUGGCGCUGGAUAGCGGCAAACGGGUGAGUAACGCGGGGGUAACGUACCUUAAGGAGGGGCAUAGCUUCGUGAAAGCGGAGGUAAUUCCCCAUACCCCCUUUAUUUGAAAUAAUUUAGGGUAAAGAUGGCCUCUAUUAAUAAGCUAUCACCUUGAGAGCGGCCCGCGUUCUAUCAGGUUGUUGGUAGGGUAAUGGCCUACCAAGCCUAAGACGGAUAGCUGGUCUGAGAGGAUGGUCAGCCACAUCGGGACUGAGACACUGCCCGGACUCCUACGGGAGGCUGCAGUCGAGAAUAUUUCACAGUGGACGAAAGUCUGAUGAUGCGACGCCGCGUGGAGGAUGAAGGUUUUCGGAUCGUAAACUCCUUUUAUCGAGGAGGAAUAGCCUACAAGGUAAUAUUUUGUAGGUCUGACUGUACUCGAUGAAUAAGCCACGGCUAACUCCGUGCCAGCAGCCGCGGUAAUACGGAGGUGGCUAGCGUUACUCGGUUUGACUGGGUGUAAAGGGUUCGCAGGGCCUAAUAAGUGUCAGGUGAAAUCCUUCGGCUUAACCGGAGAAUUGCCUUUCAAACUAUUUGGCUUGAGGAUGGGAGAAGAGAGCGGAACUGUCAGUGUAAGGGUGAAAUCUGUGGAGAUUGACAGGAACGCCUGUGGUGUAGACGGCUCUCUAGUCCAUUCCUGACGCUCAUGAACGAAAGCUGGGGGAGCAAACAGGAUUAGAUACCCUGGUAGUCCUAGCCGUAAACGAUGGACACUAGGUGCUUGUCUCUUAGAGAUGGGUGCCGUAGCUAACGCGUUAAGUGUCCCACCUGGGGACUACGGCCGCAAGGUUAAAACUCAAAGGAAUUGACGGGGGCCCGCACAAGCGGUGGAACACGUGGUUUAAUUCGAUGCUACGCGAGGAACCUUACCAGGGCUUGACAUGCAGGAAGUAGUAUCCCGAAAGGGAGUCCGACCGGUAUCCAAUCCGGAACCUGUGCAGGUGCUGCAUGGUUGUCGUCAGCUCGUGCCGUGAGGUGUUCCUUUAAGUAGGAAAACGAGCGCAACCCUCGCCAUCUGUUGCCACCUAUGGUCUUUGAUCAUAGAGCACUCCGAUGGGACUGCCCGUGUUAAAUGGGAGGAAGGUGAGGACGACGUCAAAUCCGCAUGGCCCUUAUGUCCUGGGCUACACACGUGUUACAAUGCCUGAUACAGAGGGAUGCCAAUCCGUAAGGUGGAGCAAAUCUCAUAAAAUCAGGCCCAGUUCGGAUUGAGGGCUGCAAUUCGCCCUCAUGAAGUUGGAAUCGCUAGUAAUGGCGUAUCAGCUACGACGCCGUGAAUACGUUCCCGGGCCUUGUACACACCGCCCGUCAAGCGCUGAAAGUGGGGGGCGCCCGAAGUCCCGACUUUAGUCGAGAUCACGGUGAAUUUCAUGAUUGGCGCUAAGUCGGAACAAGGUA